rnacentral:lncRNA from 1 species
CCCUCUUCUCAUCUCUUUCUGUGGUUAGUGUUGUGAUGUCCCGAAAUAAAUAAUCUUUGAAGUAAUUCUUGAUUCUUAGAUCAACUAGAGAACUCUCAGGAAACUUCCUCUCUUCCCACCAAAAAUAAUUAUAUAGUUAUCCUUGGGCGAUCUUAAAUCUUAAUUAGUACACUCACAUUCUCUGUGGAAAAUCGAUACUCUGGAAUACUCUCAGGUGAAAGCUACAUCGGUAUCCGUGCGCUUGCGGAUUUUUCUGUUUACGUUUAAAAUACCCAACAACAUUCAAACAAGAUCUCAUCUCUAGGUUAGGGUAAACUAUUAAGAUUUAAACUUACUCAUAUUACCUUCCACCAUGGGGCUUGCAACCAUCACUUAUGUCUUGAGUAGUUAAAAGAUAGAAUGGUCAAGUCAAGCGCCAUGUCUCUUGUUCUUUGAUCAACUAUAGCUCUGGAGUUUUUGCAAAUUUUCAAAAUAAAACUCUGAGAUUCCUUGGAUGACUCUCUCUAGUCUCGCUUUUGUGGUAUUUCUAGAUCCUUACCAAGGCUGUGAUGGUAUAUGCCUUCUCUCAAAGUAUGUAUUAUUUGUGGUAUAAGGCAUAGUGACAUUGCCUUCUCUCUCAUCCUUCUCUAAUGAGGCUUUGAUAUCUGGAGCUCAUAGGUGGGAGACAACGAAUACAUACUUACAAGACAUUUAUUGCAUAGUCAAACCAUGGAUCCAGAGAAACAAGUCAAUAAGUCAAAUCAAGAUGUGCAUGUGUGGCGAAUGAAUGGUAUAUGUUGAUGAUGGUGAUAAUGGUGAAAACAAUGGUGAAAGUCUAAUUCUACUUUUGCUCUUUUGAGGGGAUACAUACCUUUCUUGCACUUUGAAGCUUUUCGAGGAGAAUGAGAUGCUCUAUAUUUUCUUUUUAUUUUCUCUCAGGUGGGUAUCUUAUACCCCUAAUUCUACUGUCAGACACUUGUCCAUUUUUACCUCUCGUCUCACUUUUUCUUUUCUUCGAGGUUCCGGGCACUUGCCCCUUUUUAUUUAAUCGUAUUUUCUUUUUUCUCUCUCUCUUUUUUUAGAGCACUCACCCUCUUGGAAUAAUGUAGCAAGUGGUAGUAACCAGAAUAUCUCGAGCAUUUAUUUCACUGGGAAAAGCAGGAAUGGAAUAAUGUUUUUGGCUAUUCUCUCCCGGAUAGGAGUAGAAUAAUUUUGGGUGAAUCUGGAGAUGGAAAUGAGUGGAUGUAUGUGGAUGCGUAGUAGAAGCAGCAUGUAUGAGUGAACGUGCAAGUGAAUCUUGAUUUUUACUACAUGAAAAGCUCCUAAGGGUCUACAUAGCUUGACCACACUCAAUGCUCAAAAGCAGUAAAAAGUAAAUGUAUGGUUCAUAGUCUAAUAAGCAUGUAUAUGUGGCUGGGGUAGGAUUUUAAACUCUCAUCAUACAGGAACUCAUCAUGCAACAUUUUAAGGAUUUUCAAAGAUAAAAUUCUCCAGAAUUCUAGCAUCUCUAGGAACAGAUAAACAACAGCUCAACCUUCCCAUAUCAUAUCCGUUAACGACUUAGACUUUAUAUCAAGUACUCUUCCCACAAGUUCAGGUUUAGAGGAAAUCUUAAUUCAUAACAGUCAUGCCUAAACUUGAGAGAGAAUUCAAUUUUGAGAACUAGUCAUGGUAGAGCAACUAUUCAUCAUUUCCAUGUGAGAGCUUAUCAUGACGGUUCAUAGCAAACUUUAUUUAUUUAUUUAUUUAGCAAACUAAGCAAAGAUAUAUAUAUAUAAGCAUAAAUCUUUAUUUGGGUUUAUAUGAUUAUGCAUAUUUUUAUUAUUUUAGUAAAGUAUAAACGUGAAUAUAAACACUUAGCUAGAUAAAUGGGGGUGCUCUCCCUCAAGCUGGAUUUUGACGUAAUUUCUUCUAAUGUAGCUAGCAGGUGGCGGAGGUGUAUUUGAAUGUCGGCAGCACCAUGAUAGCGAUUAGGAUGUCCUCUGUCUGCUAGUCUUCCUUGAUCCUUGAAUUAUGUGAAGCUCAAAUAGACAACAAAGCUUCAUGGAACUAGUUAAGUGUUAGCAUAAAUAUCUAGCCUUUAUCAUGUUGAGCCACCUCAAUAAAUGUUACUCUCUUUGGUAGGAUCAUAAAUUUAUUUUUAUAUUUUCAUUUUUAUAGGACAGUAAUAUUUUUAUUUUUACGCCGCCAUAGUGAAUGUACAUAUGGGUUUUAUGCCACGAGCAUACUCACAUGGGGCUUACUAUUUUUAACAUUUUUAUUUUCUUUUCAAGAUAGCAUGAUUAACUAACAAGCAAUUAAGGAAAGUCAAUAAUUUAAGGGAAAAGGGAAUGCAGAAAGGAUAAAUAUGGAUAACUACUGAUUUUACCUUUCGGCGAGGGUUCAAUGUUUUAAGUCUUCUGAACAAGACUUCUCACCGUGUUCAUUCUUUAGGUGCGUCAUUUGAUUCAGGUGUGGACCUUGACAUCUGCACCUCUUGAUACGGUGUCACCCAUGUUCUUCGUUUGCCCAACAGUUCGAAGUGCGGCGUUGGCAGUAUCUUGCUCAGUGUGUUUUGUGCUCGUAGAUCCAGGUCCUUCACUUGGUAGAGUCUGGGAGUUGAAAAAUCCUCUAUGUUUCUCAAAAUGUGUCCUGCUUAUAGAGACAAAGCAGAGAUCAAAUGCAUGGGUCCAGUUGGUGGAAAACACCAACAGAACCAAAAGUAUAUUGAUUCUUCUCUAUCCUUUAGCAUAGGGAGCAAGAUAAAGUUGAUGGGUGAUAAGUUCAUGAGUGUAGCAUUUAAAACAUUUGUCAGAUCAGAUCGCUCAACCUUAUGGAAAGAUAAUCUAUCUAUGUAUAUGUCUUUUUCUUUAUAUCUUCUCAAAGAUUUAAUGUGCAACAUUUUAGCUCAUAUGAUUAGGAGUGUGGGGUCAUGGAGGUAGUACUAGGAACAAAGAUUAAAGGACUAAACAUGCUGAAUCAGUUGGGUUGGUUAAUUAGGACUUAUAAAUCAUACAUAUUUGUCUCUUUAUUUAUGUGAAUGCAAGAACCAAGGACAAGCUUGUAAAAGUGAUAGUCACAUAUCUUAAGAUGUUACCUUAAUUGAAGAGUGAUGGUACCAUCUCACAUUGGGGAAGCUUCCCAUUUGUAGUGGUUGUGUAUCUUGUUUGUGGCACCCUCCAUGGGUCAUCUCUUAUGAGCUAUGUCUUCCUUGUAUAAAUUGUUAAACUUCAUGUGUCUCUCUCUUCAUCUCUGAUGUGAGUUUAUCUCAGGACUUCCCAAAUUGAUAUUGAAAGUUUUUUCUGGAGGGGUUAGUCUGACAAAAUAUACCAAUGUCUACGCAAACAGUUUUUAGUUCAAUAACCGAAAUAGACUCCAUGUCUAAUCAGAUUAAGGAAGGUUGAUUAACCUAAGCACCAUGCUUAAUUUAAAAGCCAAUAGAAGUAUGUGCAGUACUUCCAAACUAACACUUACUAGGAUAAACAAAGGUAGCGUGAUGGCUUUUAUAGAGAUCUACUCAAGUGG